rnacentral:piRNA from 1 species
UGCAAAUCCCUUCAGCUCCUUCAGUCU